AACAUAAAAGAAGCAGCAUAUGUAUCAAGAGAAAAAGAUGUGUUGCAUUGACAUGGAAAUGUGAGAAUCAUUGAAGAGAUGGAGAAUGAACAAUUGGUAACAGUUAUAAAAGUUAAGGAUAAAUUGAAUAUAGAGUUUAAAUAUUGAAUUAAGGCACAUAUGUGUAGAAAUAUCUAUAGGGAGUUGGAAACUUUAAAAGCGGCAGGAAUAAUGGGGCUGUAACACAUGGAAUUGAUUGAGCCAGUGAAGUCAAUGCUAAAAGGACAUAAAGGAAUCUCACAAACAUGAGUAAUAUUUAUAUGUAAGAGCCAGUCACUAAGGGUAAUGUAGUUGUAAUGAAAACAACUGUUGGUGAUAUUGAGGCAGAAUUAUGGGUCAAAGAAACUCCGAAGACAUGUAGAAAUUUCAUACAAUUAUGUAUGGAAGGUUAUUGGGAUAACAAUAUAUUUCAUACACAAGGUGGUGAUCCUACAGAUACAGGAGAAGGUUGUAAAAUAUAUGGAGAGCCAUUUAAAGACGAUUUUCGUACAAGAUUACGUUCCUAUGGACGAGGUUUAAUUACUGGUGGUCAUGCUGGAGAAGAUGACAAUGAUUUCCAAUUCUUCUUUACUCCUAGUUCUACACUAGAUUUGCAGAUAUAAACAUACAAUCUUUGGUAAAGUUACAGGAAAAGCUAUAUAUUACAUGCCUAAACUUGCAGAAGCACUUGUAGAAUGCUAGACCAUUUUCUCCUCCAAGAUUGAUAAAAAUUAUGAUAUUGAACAAUCCAUUUUCUGAUAUUACACCAAGGAUAAUAGUACAAGAAAGUGAAGAAGCAAUGGACAAUUCAAAAACUAAAACAGCAGCAAUAAAAGAUUUCAAUCUUUUAUCAUAUGGCGCAGAAGCAGAGGAAGAUGAAGAAGAAUCUGCGAUAUUAAAGAAAAAGUCUAGUGGUAUGGGCAAGUCAGCUCGCGAUCACUAAACUGAUCCAAAAUUAAGCUCACAACCAGCUGUUGAACUACUUGUACUUGGAAAUAAAGAA